GCUCGAAGCGUGUGCAGAGGCUGCUGUGCGAAUCGAGGGCUGGUUCGAGCGUAGCCGUGCGGCUGCUGUGGUAGAGCGUGGGGUUGUGUGCCGUUGACGGAAAUCGGUCGCCGGAACUUGAUUUCCGGCAAGCUUAACGGUCCCAAUUUCAUAAGCGGAACGUUCGAUUAAGACAGCGAAAAUUCUCCGUUACAAGACUAGGUGUGCUGGUGCUGCUGCAUAAUCUCGAGCAUACGGGGAUAGGCUUGGUAUUUACAUUUAAAGCAUUU